AGCGAACGCUGGCGGCAGGCCUAACACAUGCAAGUCGAACGAACCUUUCGGGGUUAGUGGCGGACGGGUGAGUAACACGUGGGAACGUGCCUUUAGGUUCGGAAUAACUCAGGGAAACUUGUGCUAAUACCGAAUGUGCCCUUCGGGGGAAAGAUUAAUCGCCUUUAGAGCGGCCCGCGUCUGAUUAGCUAGUUGGUUGAGGUAAUGGCUCACCAAGGCGACGAUCAGUAGCUGGUCUGAGAGGAUGAUCAGCCACAUUGGGACUGAGACACGGCCCCAACUCCUACGGGAGGCAGCAGUGGGGAAUCUUGCGCAAUGGGCGAAAGCCUGACGCAGCCAUGCCGCGUGAAUGAUGAAGGUCUUAGGAUUGUAAAAUUCUUUCACCGGGGACGAUAAUGACGGUACCCGGAGAAGAAGCCCCGGCUAACUUCGUG
rnacentral:rRNA from 1 species